GCUGAUUGGGUCGGAAAAUCCACCUUAUUCCCAGGCUAACUCCCCGGAUAAUGCUGCUGAUCCUUCCAGGUGAUCGGAAAAUAAAGAAAUGGUUAAAAAAAAAAAAAAGAAAAAGUUUUCGUAGGCGAAUAUAAUUUCGCACGUGAAGGGUGAUUUCUUGGUUUCGUCUCUCUAGACUGAAGUCUCAUCCCAGAUCCGCAGCUUGUAAACUCCGUGCUGAGACCCUUCUUUCAUCAUCAAAAAAUAAGAGAUUUUAUCAAAAUUUAUAUAUUUUCAAACUUAAGCCAGAUUUUCGAUGAGUUUUUUAACAGAAUUGUGGCUUGAUGUCUUAGUGAGUUAAUCUUGAAGGGAUUUCAAAGAAAGUAGCCACCAGUUGAGCCUAUUAACUUUGUCCUUUACUGUAUUAUCCUAUUGACUUGAAAUUGAUUAGUGAGUCUUAAUAUGUGCUCAAAUUUGGCUCAGUUAUGAAUCAAUGUGAACCUGAAGUUUAAGCAACUUGAUUAAUUAUGCAAUCCAAUCUAGAGAAGCUCAACGUGACCAUUUUGAAAAUGUACGAGGCUAAAGUGAGAUUAGUUUCAAACCACAUAGAUUGAAUGAGCAUUACUCAAAUGAUAAAAUGAAAUUGGCAACAAACUAAUCGAUUCAUCUUUAUUCUUUUCUGAGCCAUCAGCAAUGGCAGCGAAGCUACUAAUUUCUCCUCUCUUCUCGUUGCACAGUUCCGACCCAAGACCAGCACCACAUUCACCCAUGGCUUGGACGUGGACGCUUGUCAACAAGAAACAGGAGCCUCAUACUUCGAGUGUCGUCCUCCCUUGACAAUGAGAUUUUAUCAUCCACUUCUUCAGCUGUCCUGCAUAAUCUGCACCACUACCCGCAGUCUCUUACCUAUUGGCAGAUACUGCAGGAAACUCAUUGGCCAGUUACUAUACUUCUCUUGGUCUCUUUAUUAUUUCCGUUCCUGGCCUUUGGUCCCUUAUCAAGUGCUCAGUUAAAUCUAAGUUACCAAACUGUUAUGUCCAUUUUUACUCUGGACUAUACCAAAAUGCGAUACAGGAAGCAUGUUUGGCUAAGUUUAAAAAGUUCUACUCAUAAGUUCUAAAGUAACUUUUUACAUCGAUCAAAGUGAGAUAUAAGUAAGCUAUUCAUUUUGACAUAAUGAUAGAUUUACUUACAAAAUAAGUUUGUUUUUACUAAAGUAAGACAAAAUCAAGUUAUCCCAUAUUCGGAAAUUCGACGUUACUUAAAAGUAACUUUUACGUAUUUUAAGCUUUUCAAACAUGCUUUUAUAGGUUGAGAGUGAUUUUAUUUUCUUCAUCUCUGAUACGUUUUUUUAUUUUGCUUUACUUGAAACUAUCCAAAUUGCCUUUUCAUUCUUAGAACAGAUUGUGCAAAAGACAUUCAUAGGAGAAGGGAAGGGGGAGAAGGCUCCUAACCAAGUGGAAGGAGAAAUUCUUUCAUUCUUUACUUGAAAUAAUUUUGUGGUGUUGGAUAGAGGAGAUUCGAUAACGUAAGCCACUAAUUCUAUCACAUGUUCCUUAAAAGUAGUGUUUGAUAACAAAAUCUCUUUAUGCAACAACCUUGCAUGCGGUAAAUUUCAGAAUUGUAACGUUUUCACAUCUGAAGAAUUUCAAUGUCAAUAUUUAGUUCAACUAGAUGAAAUAUGACCAAGGGUUAAUGAGAACUUGCAGCACCAUAAAUUCUCAUGCUCAUAUACUUCAAUUGAUAUUUUCCUUCUCAGCUUUUGUAAUUGGUAAAUAGCAUGCUUAUCAUCAUGGUUUAUGUUAAUUUAUAGCUUAGGAGAAGUUUUCAAGUUCUUCCAUGUAUAAGAACAUCCAAAAAGCCACUUUUCCCGGAUGCUCUUCUUUUAGAAAAGUGAUGGCUAAUUCUUCUAUUACUGUUGGUUAUGCUCAACCAGUACCAAUGGGUUGGUUGUCUUUCAUAAUCACUUAACUGAUUGCAGAUCCAAAUGGUAGUAUACACUUAUUCUCCAACUAUGGAUUGCCCUAAACCGUUUUCUCUUAGACAUACAAAAAUUGUAAGAUAGCCAUGGUAAAAUUUAGUUUUCUUCAUAGUGAAAAACCUGCCAUUAUAAAACUCUGUUUUCUUGCAUGUUUCUGAUAUUUCGUUGUGCUUAUUUUUAUAACAUGUUUCUAUUUACUUUACGUUUGAAGGUACUAUGGUUCCAAGCCGUGGCCAAGCAGCAUUGCUCACUUUUUGUGCCAGCACAAGUCUGGCAAGUGUUGCCCUUGUUUUGACAAUUACUCUUCCAGACAUAGGAAACAAUUGGUUCUGGUUGACUAUAUUAAGGUCCUGUUUGACCCACAUUCUUUCCAAAAAAUACAUUCUUAAGUAGUGGUUUGAUAUCAUUUUAACCACAUAUUCUUCAAUAAAAUAAUAUUAAACACAAAUUCUGAACUUUUCCUUAUUUUUAACUACAUAUUUUUCAUCAAUACACUAUUCAAAAAUGCAUUUUAUAGAAAUAAUGUGGCUCAAACAAGGGCUAAGUCAUCUAGCGUUAGUUAUUUCCUCUUGAAACCGAGACUACAUUGUCUAACAUGUAAAAUGGAUUUGGGGAGUGUAUUAUUGGAUGAAAGCAUCUAGAAAGGAGCGGAUCAAGGUCAAAAUGAUAGUAGGAGAUGAUGGAACCCUGUCGGAGAUAAUUGUACAAGGUGAUGACCAACAAGUGGAGCAAAUGAGAAAGGAGCUCCAGUUCAGUGAAAAAGGCAUGGUUUAUGUGAAGGGCAUUUUUGAAAGCUGAAAUUAGAUGUCAUCUCAUGUCUUAGGUUGUUCUUUGUUUUGAUUUCUCAUAAGAAAGUUUUGAUGUGUAAUUUGUGUAUAAAUAUGUAUGUCACUAAUGUUCUAUUUAGAACGAGCACAACAUGAAUUCUUAUACACAUUUCAUUGUUGUGGUUUUGAACUAGUUUUCAAUGUAUCAUGUUUUUUAAAUUUAGUUUUUUGUUUGGUAAAAAUUAAA
rnacentral:lncRNA from 1 species